UACAUGGGGUGCAAACGUUGCUCGGAAUUAUUGGGCGUAAAGCGCGCGUAGGCGGUUACUCAAGUCGGAUGUGAAAGCCCUCGGCUUAACUGAGGAAGUGCACCCGAAACUGAGUAGCUAGAGUACUAAAGAGGGUCGCGGAAUUCCCGGUGUAGAGGUAAAUUCGUAGAUAUCGGGAGGAACACCGGUGGCGAAGGCAGGUCUCUGGGCUGACACUGACGCUCAUGCACGAAAGCGUGGGGAGCAAACAGG
rnacentral:rRNA from 1 species